GAGCUCCGCCCUUAUAAAUUUAGCGGCGGACGGGUGAGUAACACGUGGGUAACCUGCCCAUAAGACUGGGAUAACUCCGGGAAACCGGGGCUAAUACCGGAUAACAUUUUGAACCGCAUGGUUCGAAAUUGAAAGGCGGCUUCGGCUGUCACUUAUGGAUGGACCCGCGUCGCAUUAGCUAGUUGGUGAGGUAACGGCUCACCAAGGCAACGAUGCGUAGCCGACCUGAGAGGGUGAUCGGCCACACUGGGACUGAGACACGGCCCAGACUCCUACGGGAGGCAGCAGUAGGGAAUCUUCCGCAAUGGACGAAAGUCUGACGGAGCAACGCCGCGUGAGUGAUGAAGGCUUUCGGGUCGUAAAACUCUGUUGUUAGGGAAGAACAAGUGCUAGUUGAAUAAGCUGGCACCUUGACGGUACCUAACCAGAAAGCCACGGCUAACUACGUGCCAGCAGCCGCGGUAAUACGUAGGUGGCAAGCGUUAUCCGGAAUUAUUGGGCGUAAAGCGCGCGCAGGUGGUUUCUUAAGUCUGAUGUGAAAGCCCACGGCUCAACCGUGGAGGGUCAUUGGAAACUGGGAGACUUGAGUGCAGAAGAGGAAAGUGGAAUUCCAUGUGUAGCGGUGAAAUGCGUAGAGAUAUGGAGGAACACCAG
rnacentral:rRNA from 1 species